rnacentral:rRNA from 1 species
GGAAUAUUGGGCAAUGGGCGCAAGCCUGACCCAGCAACGCCGCGUGAAGGAAGAAGGCUUUCGGGUUGUAAACUUCUUUUCUCAGGGACGAACAGAUGUCGGUACCUGGGGAAUAAGCCACGGCUAACUACGUGCCAGCAGCCGCGGUACUACGUAGGUGGCAAGCGUUAUCCGGAUUUACUGGGUGUAAAGGGCGUGUAGGCGGGGACGCAAGUCAGAUAUGAAAACCGCGGGCUCAACCUGUGGCCUGCAUUUGAAGCUGUGUUUCUUGAGUACUGGAGAGGCAGACGGAAUUCCUAGUGUAGCGGUGAAAUGCGUAGAUAUUAGGAGGAACACCAGUGGCGAAGGCGGUCUGCUGGACAGCAACUGACGCUGAGGCGCGAAAGCGUGGGGAGCAAA